AGAGUUUGAUUCUGGCUCAGAACGAACGCUGGCGGCGUGGAUAAGACAUGCAAGUCGAACGCUGACAUUCAGGUAGCAAUAUUUGGAUGUCGGAGUGGCGCAAGGGUGCGUAACACGUGGGUAAUUCGCCGUGAAGUUUGGGAUAACUUGCUGAAAGGCGAGCUAAUACCGAAUGUGAAUGUAAGAAGGCAUCUUUUGACAUUCAAAGUUGGGGACCGCAAGGCCUGACGCUUUACGAUAAGCCCGCGGCCUAUCAGCUAGUUGGUGAGGUAACGGCUCACCAAGGCUAAGACGGGUAGCUGGUCUGAGAGGACGACCAGCCUCACUGGAACUGAGACACGGUCCAGACACCUACGGGUGGCAGCAGUCGAGAAUUUUUCUCAAUGGGCGAAAGCCUGAAGGAGCGACGCCGCGUGGGGGAUGAAUGGCUUCGGCCCGUAAACCCCUGUCAUUUGUGAACAAAUUGCUUCACCUAACACGUGAAGCAUUGAUUGUAACGGAAGAGGAAGGGACGGCUAACUCUGUGCCAGCAGCCGCGGUAAUACAGAGGUCCCAAGCGUUGUUCGGAUUCACUGGGCGUAAAGGGUGCGUAGGCGGUUUGAUAAGUCUGAUGUGAAAUCCCGCAGCUUAACUGCGGAACUGCAUUGGAAACUAUUUGACUAGAGGAAUGGAGGGGAGACUGGAAUACUUGGUGUAGCAGUGAAAUGCGUAGAUAUCAAGUGGAACACCAGUGGCGAAGGCGAGUCUCUGGACAUUUCCUGACGCUGAGGCACGAAAGCCAGGGGAGCAAACGGGAUUAGACACCCCGGUAGUCCUGGCCCUAAACGGUGCGCGUUUGCUGUGAGCGGAAUCGACCCCGCUCGUGGCGAAGUUAACACAUUAAACGCGCCGCCUGGGAAGUACGGCCGCAAGGUUAAAACUCAAAGAAAUUGACGGGGGCCUGCACAAGCGGUGGAGUAUGUGGCUUAAUUCGAUCAACGCGAAGAACCUUACCUGGCCUUGACAUGCAAGUAGUAGAAGCCUGAAAGGGUGACGAAUCCGCAAGGAUAGCUUGCACAGGUGCUGCAUGGCUGUCGUCAGCUCGUGUCGUGAGAUGUUGGGUUAAGUCCCGCAACGAGCGCAACCCCUGUGUCCUGUUGCCACCCCUUAAAUGGGAGCACUCUGGACAGACUGCCUCGCUUCAACGAGGAGGAAGGUGGGGAUGACGUCAAGUCAGUAUGGCCCUUACGGCCAGGGCUGCACACGUACUACAAUGCCCGGUACAAAGGGAAGCAAGACUGUAAAGUGGAGCCAAUCCCCCAAAACCGGGCCCAGUUCAGAUUGUCGUCUGCAACUCGACGACAUGAAGCUGGAAUCGCUAGUAAUGGCGCAUCAGCUACGGCGCCGUGAAUACGUUCCCAGGCCUUGUACACACCGCCCGUCACAUCAUGAAAGCCGGUUGCACCCGAAGUCGCCCCUUAAAAGGUGCCGAAGGUAUGACUGGUGAUUGGGAUGAAGUCGGAACAAGGUA
rnacentral:rRNA from 1 species